UGUGCCUUUGCAAUAGUUUGCCACAUCUUUAAAUCAUGAUUAAUUUAAACCUUUUUCUCUCCUUGCUUAGGCCUGACACAAGCAACUGCUUUCCUGUCACAUUGAUUUUUCUGUCCUUGCGGAUUCAUAGCCAGGGCUGAGUCCUCCUAACAGGGUAUAGUCAUUUAGCAAGGGCAGGCUUUGAGGAUCUAUCAAAAACUGCUUGCCACCUUUCCAAAUCAUCACUGUCUGCAGUGACCAUGCCUGAAUCCUGGAGGAAAACAAGGAGUUCCUAACCUCUCUUGGGUGAAGGAGAUUUUGGAGUUUGAUGAGAGGAAUGGACUCCAGAAAAAUUCCCAGGUACAUCUUCACCCCCAUCUUGCUCACAACUCUGAGGGCUCACAGGCUACCUGAAGUGUCUAGAGUGAGAGAAAUCCAUGGACCCCAGGAACUUGGAAUCUGAUGUGGGACACCAACACAAAAAGAAGCAGGAG